CGGAAACGGCCAGAGAUGGUCGCCCCCUUGUGGUCGGUGUACAGGUGGUGCAUGGCUGUCGUCAGCUCGUGUCGUGAGAUGUUGGGUUAAGUCCCGCAACGAGCGCAACCCUUGUUCUGUGUUGCCAGCAUGCCUUUCGGGGUGAUGGGGACUCACAGGAGACUGCCGGGGUCAACUCGGAGGAAGGUGGGGACGACGUCAAGUCAUCAUGCCCCUUAUGUCUUGGGCUGCACACGUGCUACAAUGGCCGGUACAAUGAGCUGCGAUACCGUGAGGUGGAGCGAAUCUCAAAAAGCCGGUCUCAGUUCGGAUUGGGGUCUGCAACUCGACCCCAUGAAGUCGGAGUCGCUAGUAAUCGCAGAUCAGCAUUGCUGCGGUGAAUACGUUCCCGGGCCUUGUACACACCGCCCG
rnacentral:rRNA from 1 species